rnacentral:rRNA from 1 species
AGAACGAACGCUGGCGGCAGGCCUAACACAUGCAAGUCGAACGCCCUAGCAAUAGGGAGUGGCGCACGGGUGAGUAACGCGUGGGAAUGUACCCUUGGGUGCGGAACAACGUCGGGAAACUGACGCUAAUACCGCAUAAUAUCUACGGAUCAAAGAUUUAUCGCCCAAGGAUCAGCCCGCGUAAGAUUAGGUAGUUGGUGGGGUAAUGGCCUGCCAAGCCUACGAUCUUUAGCUGGUCUUAGAGGAUGAUCAGCCACACUGGAACUGAGACACGGUCCAGACUCCUACGGGAGGCAGCAGUGAGGAAUCGUUGGACAAUGGGCGAAAGCCUGAUCCAGCCAUGCCGCGUGAGUGAUGAAGGCCUUCGGUUGUAAAGCUCUUUCAGUAUGUGAAGAUAAUGACGUAGCAUCAGAAGAAGCUCGGACUACUCCGUGCCAGCAGCCGAC